rnacentral:rRNA from 1 species
UGCCAGCAGCCGCGGUAAUACGAAGGGUGCUAGCGUUGUUCGGAAUUACUGGGCGUAAAGAGCAUGUAGGCGGAUGAAUUAGUCAGAGGUGAAAGCCCCGAGCUCAACUUGGGAACUGCCUUUGAUACUGUUUAUCUAGAGUCCGAGAGAGGUUAGUGGAAUUCCCAGUGUAGAGGUGAAAUUCGUAGAUAUUGGGAAGAACACCAGUGGCGAAGGCGGCUACCUGGACCGAUACUGACGCUGAGACGCGAAAGCGUGGGGAGCAAACAGGAUUAGAUA